rnacentral:rRNA from 1 species
GAUGAACGCUAGCGGCAGGCUUAACACAUGCAAGUCGAGGGGUAUAGUAGCAAUACUAGAGACCGGCGCACGGGUGCGUAACGCGUAUGCAACCUACCUUUUACAGAGGGAUAGCCCAGAGAAAUUUGGAUUAAUACCUCAUAGUGUUAUUAGAUGGGCAUCAUUUGAUAACUAAAGUUCCAACGGUAAAGAUGGGCAUGCGUCCUAUUAGCUAGAUGGUAAGGUAACGGCUUACCAUGGCUACGAUAGGUAGGGGUCCUGAGAGGGAGAUCCCCCACACUGGUACUGAGACACGGACCAGACUCCUACGGGAGGCAGCAGUGAGGAAUAUUGGACAAUGGGUCGGCAAAGCCGUGAUCCAGCCAUGCCGCGUGCAGGAAGAAGCAUCUAUGGUGUGUUAAACUGCUUUUGUACGGAACGAAAC